CCUACGGGAGGCAGCAGUGGGGAAUAUUGCACAAUGGGCGAAAGCCUGAUGCAGCGACGCCGCGUGAGGGAUGACGGCCUUCGGGUUGUAAACCUCUUUCAGCAGGGAAGAAGCGAAAGUGACGGUACCUGCAGAAGAAGCGCCGGCUAACUACGUGCCAGCAGCCGCGGUAAUACGUAGGGCGCAAGCGUUGUCCGGAAUUAUUGGGCGUAAAGAGCUCGUAGGCGGCUUGUCACGUCGGGUGUGAAAGCCCGGGGCUUAACCCCGGGUCUGCAUUCGAUACGGGCUAGCUAGAGUGUGGUAGGGGAGAUCGGAAUUCCUGGUGUAGCGGUGAAAUGCGCAGAUAUCAGGAGGAACACCGGUGGCGAAGGCGGAUCUCUGGGCCAUUACUGACGCUGAGGAGCGAAAGCGUGGGGAGCGAACAGGAUUAGAUACCCUGGUAGUCCACGCCGUAAACGGUGGGAACUAGGUGUUGGCGACAUUCCACGUCGUCGGUGCCGCAGCUAACGCAUUAAGUUCCCCGCCUGGGGAGUACGGCCGCAAGGCUAAAACUCAAAGGAAUUGACGGCUGAGACGNGCGAGACGACACGAGGAGAGG
rnacentral:rRNA from 1 species